rnacentral:rRNA from 1 species
AUUGAACGCUGGCGGCAGGCUUAACACAUGCAAGUCGAGCGGGGAAGGGUAGCUUGCUACCUAACCUAGCGGCGGACGGGUGAGUAAUGCUUAGGAAUCUGCCAUUUAGUGGGGGACAACAUUCCGAAAGGAAUGCUAAUACCGCAUACGUCCUACGGGAGAAAGCAGGGGAUCUUCGGACCUUGCGCUAAAUGAUGAGCCUAAGUCGGAUUAGCUAGUUGGUGGGGUAAAGGCCUACCAAGGCGACGAUCUGUAGCGGGUCUGAGAGGAUGAUCCGCCACACUGGGACUGAGACACGGCCCAGACUCCUACGGGAGGCAGCAGUGGGGAAUAUUGGACAAUGGGCGGAAGCCUGAUCCAGCCAUGCCGCGUGUGUGAGGAAGGCCUUUUGGUUGUAAAGCACUUUAAGCGAGGAGGAGGCUACUAGUACUAAUACUACUGGAUAGUGGACGUUACUCGCAGAAUAAGCACCGACUAACUCUGUGCCAGCCGCCGCCGUAACAC